CACCAACUUUUUGCACACCAGAAUUGUAACAAUAUCCACCUUUGAAGGAAAAUCAACUCAGCUCCACUGUGGGCUUAUUUGCUCCUUAUUUACUAUGUCAAAGUUCCUCAUCAUUUUGAACAGCCCUGUUAAACCUGCUCUAUAGUUAUAUUCUUUGAGCUUUAAACCAGGGUUUGGGAGUCUAGACUAACAAAAUGUUUGCCCUGGUGAGUAUCAGUAUUAACUCAAAUUCCUGGCAACUAAUCAAUGCAAUAGUCUGAGUUGCUGUAAGUUCGAUGCCAGUUUACCAAUAAACAUAUCACAUGCUAAACUGUCAAUAUGGUCUCGGUUAAGGAGGGAUUAGGGUUUUACCUUGUUUAAAAUCAUGGAGCAAGUGCAUGGGAUCGGAAUAAGGUGUAAUUUCAAUGGCUUCUAGAAGUAAUUGACCCAAGUAGAGAGAGAAGGCCCGUAUUAAUAUCAAAGAGAGUUCAGCAGACUUUAGACCUGUUUCUGUUCCACAUUGCAUCAUGUGACAGAGGCUCUGUGAGAUUAAUCUCCUCCUCCUAUGCUGUGUUCUGCAGAGACUUGAACUACAAAGAGUCAGAUUGUUUGACAAUAGGAAAACAGAAUAAACAAUGUUUGAAUUGUGUCAGAUCCAGCAUUGAGCAAGUUUCUUUUAGUCCAUCUGAAUAUAAACUUGUUUCAGUAAUGUUUCAAAGUAUCUGUUUUAACUGAGAAGUUUGCCUGUCAUUAGUAUUUUCACCACCUCUAGAUGAUUGGCAGGAUCCUAUGUAUUUUCUGACACGUUAUUACACAGUUGUGGUGUCAUAAUAAUCCCUGGUGCACUACCCCCAUAAUGGUGUCUUUAAAGCUGCAAAUUCAAAUUCCAAGGACACUCUUGGAAAUGGGAAUGCAGAACUCCAGGUGGGAAUGGAGAACUCCAACUUGGAACCGCUGCCAUUUCUCCAGCAUAACCUGGCUGGAAGUGAAUGGGAAACCAAGGAUUUACAUGUGUCGGGGAGGUUUCUGCUGCACAGUUACAACAUUGGAACCAGAGAGACAGUUCACAGACCCAGCCUUAAAAAGGCAUGAAUAAACUGCUAUGUUUUUCUGUGAAGAGUGGAACAAAGAAUUGGAAAGGGGAUAGAUGAACAAAAACUUAACCUGUUUACAUGACAUUCCCCAGGUAUGUUAGCAGUAACCAUCUCAUUUCACAAAAGUCUAUAAACAUUUGAUGCUUAAAAAAUGAUUUGUUUGUUGGGCUACUUCAGAGGUUUACAAUUAGGGCUCAGAUGAAUGAGGAUAGUUGAGAUCCUUUCCCUGGGAACAUUGAUGAACUGUUUACAAAGUUCAACAGCUUUCAGUGUUUGUGAGCUGUCGCAUGGAUCUAGAAUAGUGUUUGAAUGUGUGACCUCUUUGGGCUUGCUGGUCCAGUAAUGUAGCCAACCACCCAAUAGUACAUACCUCCUUUCAUCCAGUGACAGCUUCUCAGUGAACAUUAAAUGCAAGUCUCUCUCACUCUCUGACAGGUGCUUCGUAUGAUGUUGGAGGCACAAGUUACAGAUGACCAAUUGGAGAGCAUCACUGACCGAACGAUCCAGGAGGCUGACCUGGAUGGAGAUGGUGCCAUCUCAUUCGAAGAGUUCCGAAUGUCACUCGAGAAUAUUAACUUGGAACACAAGAUGAGCAUUCGAUUUCUUCAGUAAUGCCUGGACUGCUGCCCAGUGGGAGGUUCACCCAUGAAAUGCAUUCCUGAGGAGAGUAAAUGGACUGAGACAUAAACUGCCAUGUUGAUGUUUCCAUAUUGAGAUUUCAGUGGCUUCCUUGAAUCAUCCGCCCCAGUCACAUGUUUCAUUGAGCUUCUGCAGGGGUCUCUGCGGGGAGUGGGAGAUUUUGGCAUAAUUCCCAACCAGUCUUCUGUUCUCUGGCAAUGAUGGGAUUGCAAAUCAGGAAGCAGAAAAGUCACCCAGGAUUCCCACUCCUGUUUUGUGACACUCAGGGCAGAAUUUAAUCCAGGCAAUGGUUAUGAGAGCCCCACAUCUCUUCCAUGAGGGAAAACACAUCGAACUAACAUGCAUGAUCAGUAGUGAACCUUCCCCGGAAUCAAGGAUCCUGGAAGGUAGAAAUCCUGCACCCCCCACCCCUUCCCAAGCAGAGGUGAGCAGCUGUUAUUGCAGGCAGCGCCGCCAGGAAUACAGUCACCUGAGGCUGAAGUUCACCGAAGAGUUCAAACCACUGGCGAGGGUGGGCUGGAAGGUGGAGUGUGGAGGUGCUGUCAGUGUGUCCCAUCUUCCCAAUGUCAGGUUCCUUUUUCAGGCCAUUGUUUGCUCCGCAGGCGGCCAGCUGAAUUUGAGAAAACCCAUCUUAGUCGAAUAUGCUCUGUCACAGUCAGUGUUCACAACAGCGAGUCUGUUGUGGGAUGAUGUCAGUCCAUCAUCCCUAGAAACAAAGUGGGUGAGACAUAGGGGUAGCCUGGUGCUGAGAUGGGCUGUUAAAAUAGCCCACCUCAGUUAUCUGGGACCUCCUCCUUCUUGUUUGCUUACAUUUAAGCCCUCCAGCCAUCACAUCUCUCACUCCAUCAUAUUCCCACCUGCCCCAUAUGUUACCUUCAUGCCAGCUCAUGCCCCACACACCCCAGUGGCCCUUCAAGUUCCUUCCUGACAACUCGAACCACUUCCAUACCCAUUUAUCUAGUACAGGAUCAACAAAUCUUACAAUACCAAUGGCACAUGUGGCACUGCUUUCACCAUUCAUUAUUCUUUAUUUCAAAAAGAAAACUUGCCACAAACCAAUAAAAUGUUAAUCAACCAGACCUUUCAAGUAUCAAUUACAAAUUAUAAACAUUUGACGCCUGUUUAUUUUAAGCAAAUAAACACUGAGCCAUUGAUAAACAUGAUCACACAAAAUAACUUAUGGUACCAUCAUAAAUCUGUAAAUCUAAUUUACAGAUGUGUCUGAAAUCUCAUGCUUGGCUGAAGCCGGGACUCCCAGAAAAGGAUUAUGAGUGAGCUUGUUGAGGGAAGUGGAGCUUGUUGACAGAAGUGCAGAGUAGGUUGACCAGCCAAGAUGCUCCUGAUGCUGGAAAACUGACUGCAAUUUUGUUUUGUUAUUCCUUCAUAGAAUGUGAGCACUUGUUGCUAAUCGUUAAUUGUCAUUGGGAGUUGACAGUGAACCAUCUUCUUGAACUGCAACAGUCCAUGUGGUGCAGGGGCACUCUGUUACUUAGGGUGGGGAGAUUCCAGGCUAACCCAAUGACAGUUAAAGAAGAGCGAUUAUAAUUUGUUAUAAAAAUAGAUCAGUACCCCACGUUACUUACAGAUAUAUUGAACUUUUAAAUAUAACAUAUGUUUUUAAACAAAAGACAUGAAAGUCAAAGAAUAGCUGAGGAUGUAAAUUCAGUAGCUGUCUAAAAUCUCUAUGUGGAUCACAUGGAAUCCAAGAGGAAUCAUGACAUUGUUAUACCUUGAAGAGUGUCAUGGGAACUUAAAACAGAAACACUUCAAAGGGAGAGACACUGUUCAGAAAACUGAGCUGUGUUCUCCCAUGGGUUAUGUACCAGACUGAUGAAUUGGAAAAAAUGAAAGGCAGUUCUGGGCAAAACGUGUUUCUUUUACAAAUGUAAAGAGUUAAAAAUAGCCCCAACCCUAGUCUCUGUGCAUUAGUGUGCUAGUUUGUGCAUCAAGUUCCAGCAUGCUAAAGAGUGCUGUGAAGAGGCACAGCUGAAAUUUUCAAAAGACACUACAGGUAAAAGAAAUAGUCUCCCUCUCGGCUGAAAACAAGCCAAGUCAGCAAACCACUGUUGAAGGAAACUGGAUAAACUGCUUUCAGUUAACUGCAGAACUAAGAAUCUCCAAAUUACCAAAAUUGCUGCUACCAGAAUCACCCACCUUAACACUAAUAAUCAGUUUGUCAUGGGCAAGUUGAAGAUCACUUUUGCUUUCUAGAUUCACUUUACAUUUCAAAUCUGUGUGUAUAUUUGACAUAUUUUGAUGAUCUUUUCUCAUGUUUUAGUCACUAAUAAACUCACUCUUGCUUUAACUCAA